CAACUAAAUCAAAUCAAACUUUAUUUGUCACAUGCGCCCGAAUACAAGUGUAGACCUUACCUUGAAAUGCUUACUUACAAGCCCUUAACCAACAAUGCAGUUCAAGGAGGGUUAAGAAAAUAUUUACCAAGUAGACUAAAAUAAAAAAUAAGAAUAAAAAGUAACACAAUAAGAAUAACGAGGCUAUGUACAGGGGGCACCGGUACAGAGUCAGUGUGCGGGGUUACAGGCUAGUUGAGGUAAUUGGUACAUGUAGGUGGGUGUGAAGUGACUAUGCAUAGAUAAUAAACAGCAAGUAGCAGCGGUGUACAAAAGCGAGGGGGGGGGGGUGUCAAUGUAAAUUGUCCUGCGGCGAUUUUAUUAAUUGUUCUGCAGUCUAAUGGCUUGGGGGUAGAAGCUGUUGAGGAGCCUUUUGGUUCUAGGCGCUCCAGUACCAGGCGCUCCGGACAUGGCGCUCCGGUACCACUUGCCGUGAGGUAGCAGAGAAAACAGUCUAUAACUUGGGUGACUGGAGUCUCUGGCAAUUUUAUGGGCUUUCCUCCGACACCGCCUGUCCUGGGUUGCAGGAAGCUUGGCACCAGUGAUGUACUGGGCCGUUCGUACUACCCUCUGUAGCGCCUUAUGGUCAGAUGCCGAGCAGUUGCCAUACCAGGCGGUGAUGCAACCGAUCAAGAUGCUCUCGAUGGUGCAGCUGUAGAACCUUUUGAGGAUCUGGGGACCCAAAUCUUUUCAGUCUCCUGAGGGGUGAAAAGGUGUUGUUGUGCCCUCUUCACAACUGUCUUGGUGUGUUUGCACCAUGAUAGUUUUUGGUGAUGUAGCUCCGGUAUCAAACGUAACAACCCCACCCGAAAAGUUGACAAAACAAAAAGGAGCAAGCAGGUAUGAUUUUCUCUUUUUUUCGGAGCCCACAGCAAGAAGUCGCCAGAGCCUACCGUGCUAACGGGUUCCCACUAGAUAACACAAUCACACACUGCAUGAAAGCAUGAGGUGUGGCUAACGUUAGCAAGCUUGAGCUAGAUACCAAGCUAGCAUACAAACUCGGUAGCACAGAGUAGAUACUUCAUAUGGCGUUGAGAAAUAGUGCAUUGUGGGUAGUUUAGAAGAUAUCCAGAAAUAAGUUAAGGAAUAUGUAAUGACGCAAAAACAUAACUGUUUGUACUUAUAGGAAACCAGAUCGUGACUACAACUCAGUUACUAAGACUUAACCACACUGUGUUGUUACACUGGUGAGUAAAAACUCAUGCUCCCUACCCUUUAACUUUUAGUCAAAUAAUUGAAAUAUACAUUUUACUCAACUGCGUUACCCACUCCAGUCAGCAGAUGGCGGUGUGCGAUUUUAAGGCGAGGCUGUUAGUGUGACGUCUAAUCUAGUGGACGGAACGCUUCUUUCAACAGCAGCAACAGUUAGUCAGCCACCUCGGUAGCUUGCUACACAAAAUAGCCGAACCAAUACAGCUCUUUAGACGCUUUCGUGUAUAUUAGCCACUGUGUUUUAAACCCACUUCUGUCGUCUAGUUAGUUAUCCGAUUUAAUUUCAUAUUUACGGUGUUGUUAUUAGUCAGCUAGAGGGCUGGUUAAGUUAGCAUUAGCAUAGCUAGCUAUCAUUCCCGACCAUGAGUUCACUAAGCUACUCUCCUGCUAAAGAAGAGGAGGUCUGCUGGACGGAGAAAGAAACUCUCGUGAAAGAGGAGGAUGAGGAUGUCACAAUACAAAAUCAAGUGGAGGGUGAGGCUGUUACCGUGAAAGAAGAAGAGAAAGACGUUUCAGAUAAAGAAGAGGAAGACGCGUUCAGAGUGAAAGAGGAGGAGGAUGUUACAGUAAAAGAAGAGGAGAAGGAUGCAUGUUUUGGAGUGAAAGAGGGGGAGAUGACUGUCACAUCGAAAAAGGAGGAAGAAGAGGAAACUGGAUAUCUGGGCCCGGUUUCCCAAAUGCAUCUUAAGGCGUCCGAUGGUUCUAACGGUGAACUUAGCCAUAAGAUGGUUUUGAGAAACCGUUCCCUGAUUAACAAUAAUGGCAGAGAAAAGCAGAGCACCAGUGUGGGACUACUACAUGGAAUUGGCACCAGGGAAAGCAAGGUGUCUUAUUUGUGAUAAAGAUGUAAGCAUGGGAUCAGCAACGGCUAAAUCAAAAAAUACCACUAACCCGUGGAAUCACCUAAAUUACACCCACCCAGAAGCCCAUAAAGGAGGCAAUGAGGAAAAAAGCAAACGGAAAAAGUGAUACAGACACGUCACAGACAUCGCAGGCUACAAUCUUACAACUUGUUAAUAAAGAAGCAAAAUGGCAGGAUAAAGACCCAAGGGCCAAGAAGAUGGAUGAAGCAAUUAUUGAGAUGAUUGCCACUGAUAACCAGCCAUUCACAGUGGUGUCUGAGGUUGGUUUUCAGUGGCUGAUUACUCUUGCUGAACCCCGGUACAGGAUCAAAGAUGAAAAAUUAUUUUGCACCGAAAUGCUAGAUAAAACACAUGAAAGAGUUGUGAUGAAAGUGAAGAAUCUGGUGGCACCAGUGAACGCACCACACAUGGCAUUCACAACUGACUGCUGGUCAGGCCACUACAGAGUCCCUGAUGAGCCUUACUGGACAUUUCAUUGACAAUGUCUGGACAAGAAAGCAGGUUGUGCUGAAUGUCAAGACUAUGACUGGAUCACACACAGGAAACUACACCAGAGAGAUGUUUCUGACCAUGUUGGAAUACUGGGAAAUCCACACAGAACGUGUAGUGCUGAUCCUCAGGGACAGUGGGGCAAACACGGUGAAAGGUAUGAGACUGGCAGAGCUUCCAGACUUCAGCUGCAGUGCACACACCCUACAACUUGUAAUCAAUGAUGGCCUAUCCAGUCAGAAAGCUCUGCUAGACAUUAUUGCCAUGUUUAAGAGCUGUGCAACUCACUUUGACCACUCUGUACUGGCCAAACAGAGGCUGAGGGCCAUUCAGGAAAAGCUUGGCCUUCCCAAACACAGCAUCAUCCAAGCAGUUCAAACUCGCUGGAACUCAACACUACAAAUGUUGCAGAGAAUGUUUGAACAGAGGUGUGCUGCCAUCCUGUUAAAAGGUAACAGAUUAUUUUAUUACAACGGUUAAAAUGUAUUUUCAUUGUGUUCCAUGGUGUUAUUCGCCCCCUAGUGGAGCUUUCUGGUACUUAGAAAGACUACGCAAACAGGAAGUAGAGAAUUCGUUCUGCACGCAUAGAAGCAGCUAAAAACAACGCUACGGUGCAGGUCAUUCAGUGUAGUUAUUUCUUGUCACGCUUCAGCCUUGGAAAAUAUUUGUUUGAAAGUUCGAUUCAAGCAUUUAGCUAGUGAUGAUAAUCUUGUUAUUGAUAGAGUUGCUUACAUAUCAAUGUUGGUUGGUUGCAUUUACUCACACAAAUUGCAAUGCCUUUCAUGUAUGCCGUUAGCUGUAUUACUUUGCUCGUGCAUCAUGCAAACGAAUUGUAAAAUAUACAAUACUGUAGUUUUGUUACUGUUUCUAGUGUAAUAUGCUUUGUUAUUCUACAUAGAUGGGUGUACAUGAUUAGAGUAAUGAAAGAAGUUAGCCAAUUACCAUAUGAGUAACAAUUAGCUAUAUGUUUGUCAUCAAACCAGAUGCAUGGUACCUUAGCACGUGCUUUGUAUUUAUGCAACUUCAAAUGUAUAAUGUACAGCUACAAUAUGUCGGUGUGAAUUGAAUACUAAAGUAUAUUAUUUUCUGUAUUUUGCAGUUUUACAACAUAAACGUUUUCAAUAUAUUCAUUCAAGAAAAGUCACGCCUUGGGAGUUUUAUUGAAGACUUAGUUGUUAGCUAUCUGUCUAGUUUUGCAUGGGAACGCAACUCAAGGGCAGAAUAAGAGGCGUGCACUGAAUGUGUAUGCAGGUGAAUACGGACACAUCAGCAGUUUGUCUGCUGCACAGUGGGACAUUGUCUCUAACCUAAUUGAGAGACUGGCACCUAUGGAGGAGGUGACACUGGAGAUGAGCCACUCCAACUCUACAGCCGCAUGCCUCAUCCCCAGUGUGUCGGUGCCGACCAUGUUGGACAGUCUGACGAGGUUCUCCAAGGCCGAGGAGACAAAGCGCCUGGUGCUGGCAACUGUCCUGGAUCCACGUUACAAGAGCUAUGCCUUCACCUCAAGGACAGCACUAGAGAAAGCAAAAGAGUGGCUGAAGGAGGAGUCUGACCUACUAAGGAAACCAAAUCCCAGAGCCACAGCAGAUGGGACGAGUGAAGAGGAGGACCCAGAUCCAGGUGCAAAAAGUCCAGGUAGAUCAGCCACCCAGUCUGGUGGACAGCCUCUACGCUAGAAUCCUUGGAAGCCAAGAGGGCAGGGCUGAAGUCCAGUGCAGUUUUGAAAUUGAGUUUGAGCGUUACCUCACAGAGCCUGUCAUUGACAGAAAGAGCGGCUUGCCUUUGGAGUGGUGGAAGCAGAUGGAGGACAGACUUCAAUCACUCGCUCCGUUGGCAAAGAAGUUUCUCUGUCCCCCAACUUCUUCGGUCCCAAGUGAGAGAGUAUUCAGUGAGGUGGGAAUCAUUUAUGAUAAGCAGAGGAGCUGACUGACAGGGGACCAUGCAGACAAGCUCUGCUUUCUGCACUACAACCUAAAACUUAUGAACUGGGAAUAUUGAAGACCCAUGAAAGCUGGUGAUUCCUUUUAACAUAUGUUCUCAUGUUAUUUGAGACUAAAUUGAUUUUAUUUAUGGAUUAUAUUAAGUUAAAAUAAAAGUGUUCAUUGUUCAUUCA